CACAUCACCUUGAAACACUGCUUCCCGUGCGAUCACCUAAGUUAAGCAUCGUCGAGGCUGGUCAGUACCGAGAUGGGUGAUCGCUUAGGAAUACUAUGUGAUGUAAG